CCUACGGGAGACAGCAGUGGGGAAUAUUGGGCAAUGGGCGCAAGCCUGACCCAGCAACGCCGCGUGAAGGAAGAAGGCUUUCGGGUUGUAAACUUCUUUUCUCAGGGACGAAGCAAGUGACGGUACCUGAGGAAUAAGCCACGGCUAACUACGUGCCAGCAGCCGCGGUAAUACGUAGGUGGCAAGCGUUAUCCGGAUUUACUGGGUGUAAAGGGCGUGUAGGCGGGAAAGCAAGUCAGAUGUGAAAACCAUGGGCUCAACCUGUGGCCUGCAUUUGAAACUGUUUUUCUUGAGUACUGGGGAGGCAGACGGAAUUCCUAGUGUAGCGGUGAAAUGCGUAGAUAUUAGGAGGAGCACCAGUGGCGAAGGCGGUCUGCUGGACAGCAACUGACGCUGAGGCGCGAAAGCGUGGGGAGCAAACAGGAUUAGAUACCCCGGUAGUC
rnacentral:rRNA from 1 species